UACGUAGGGGGCAAGCGUUGUCCGGAAUUAUUGGGCGUAAAGAGCUCGUAGGCGGUUUGUCGCGUCUGGUGUGAAAAUCCAGGGCUUAACCCUGGACCUGCAUCGGGUACGGGCAGACUAGAGUGCGGUAGGGGAGAUCGGAAUUCCUGGUGUAGCGGUGAAAUGCGCAGAUAUCAGGAGGAACACCGGUGGCGAAGGCGGAUCUCUGGGCCGUAACUGACGCUGAGGAGCGAAAGCAUGGGGAGCGAACAGG
rnacentral:rRNA from 1 species